CACCGAUAGACUUGUAGUUACAUCUGGUCCUUAAAGCUGAGGGACCCAUAGAUAAUCUGCUUUGGAACUACCUUAACAAACGGUGGUAAGCUCCCUGAGAGCAGGGACCCCACAUUUCCUGUUGACACACCCUCCCAGCCCCUGGCAAGGGGAUCUGGAAAGAUCUCUGGAUGAAUUGGAACAAACAUGCACAAAGUAAAAGAAAGCAAAGCUGAUUUGGAGACACACAGGUAAUUUUCACAGAAUCACUUCCAAAGAUGAUGCUGUCUUAAUAUCGGAAAUGUUACUGAGACAUGUAGCUGAAGAUUCACCAGAACUAUGUAUGAGGAGCUCAGCACCUAACCCUGAAGUGUUGUUAUUAUUUCUCAUCCUCUUUUUUGCUGGAUUUUUUUUUUUUUUCCGUUAGA